AUUGAACGCUGGCGGCAUGCUUUACACAUGCAAGUCGAACGGUAACAGGUUAAGCUGACGAGUGGCGAACGGGUGAGUAAUGCAUCGGAACGUGCCCGGUCGUGGGGGAUAACGCAGCGAAAGCUGCGCUAAUACCGCAUACGAUCUGAGGAUGAAAGCGGGGGACCGUAAGGCCUAGCGCGAUCGGAGCGGCCGAUGUCAGAUUAGGUAGUUGGUGGGGUAAAGGCUCACCAAGCCGACGAUCUGUAGCUGGUCUGAGAGGACGACCAGCCACACUGGGACUGAGACACGGCCCAGACUCCUACGGGAGGCAGCAGUGGGGAAUUUUGGACAAUGGGCGCAAGCCUGAUCCAGCAAUGCCGCGUGCAGGAAGAAGGCCUUCGGGUUGUAAACUGCUUUUGUACGGAGCGAAAAGGCUCUCUCUAAUACAGGGGGCUCAUGACGGUACCGUAAGAAUAAGCACCGGCUAACUACGUGCCAGCCGCCGCGGUAAGAC
rnacentral:rRNA from 1 species